rnacentral:misc_RNA from 1 species
CCUAGAGUUGUAGGCUUUGCCUGCUAUCUCUUACCCAUGUCUUUUGAGUACCUUCGUUCCUCGGCGGGUCCGCCCGCCGAUUGGACAAUUUAAACCAUUUGCAGUUGCAAUCAGCGUCUGAAAAAACUUAAUAGUUACAACUUUCAACAACGGAUCUCUUGGUUCUGGCAUCGAUGAAGAACGCAGCGAAAUGCGAUAAGUAGUGUGAAUUGCAGAAUUCAGUGAAUCAUCGAAUCUUUGAACGCACAUUGCGCCCCUUGGUAUUCCAUGGGGCAUGCCUGUUCGAGCGUCAUUUGUACCUUCAAGCUCUGCUUGGUGUUGGGUGUUUGUCUCGCCUCUGCGCGUAGGCUCGCCUCAAAACAAUUGGCAGCCGGCGUAUUGAUUUCGGAGCGCAGUACAUCUCGCGCUUUGCACUCAUAACGACGACGUCCAAAAGUACAUUUUUACACUCUUGACCUCGGAUCAGGUAGGGAUACCCGCUGAACUUAAGCAUAUCAAUAAGCGGAGGAAUCGUACGCUUGGUCAUUUAGAGGAAGUAAAAGUCGUAACAAGGUCUCCGUUGGUGAACCAGCGGAGGGAUCAUUACUGAGUUGCAAAACUCCCAACCAUUGUGAACGUACCUAUCGUUGCUUCGGCGGGGGAGGCCCUCAGCGGCCUCGCGCCCACCCCCUCGGGGGAGGCAGCCCGCCGGAGGCGUCCAAACUAUAGCAUACAUUGGCCUCUCUGAGUAGCUUAUAAAAUAAGUCA